rnacentral:rRNA from 1 species
UGGGGAAUAUUGCACAAUGGGCGCAAGCCUGAUGCAGCCAUGCCGCGUGUGUGAAGAAGGCCUUCGGGUUGUAAAGCACUUUCAGCGAGGAGGAAGGUGGUGAGCUUAAUACGCUCAUCAAUUGACGUUACUCGCAGAAGAAGCACCGGCUAACUCCGUGCCAGCAGCCGCGGUAAUACGGAGGGUGCAAGCGUUAAUCGGAAUUACUGGGCGUAAAGCGCACGCAGGCGGUUUGUUAAGUCAGAUGUGAAAUCCCCGGGCUCAACCUGGGAACUGCAUUUGAAACUGGCAAGCUAGAGUCUCGUAGAGGGGGUAGAAUUCCAGGUGUAGCGGUGAAAUGCGUAGAGAUCUGGAGGAAUACCGGUGGCGAAGGCGGCCCCCUGGACGAAGACUGACGCUCAGGUGCGAAAGCGUGGGGCAGCAAACAGGAUUAGAUACCCUGGUAGUCCACGCUGUAAACGAUGUCGAUUUUGGAGGUUGUGCCCUUGAGGCGUGGCUUCCGGAGCUAACGCGUUAAAUCGACCGCCUGGGGAGUACGGCCGCAAGGUUAAAACUCAAAUGAAUU